rnacentral:rRNA from 1 species
AGCGAACGCUGGCGGCAGGCUUAACACAUGCAAGUCGAGCGGGCACUUUCGGGUGUCAGCGGCGGACGGGUGAGUAACGCGUGGGAACGUGCCCUCUGGUUCGGAAUAACUCAGGGAAACUUGAGCUAAUACCGGAUACGCCCUUUUGGGGAAAGGCUUGCUGCCGGAGGAUCGGCCCGCGUCUGAUUAGCUAGUUGGUGAGGUAACGGCUCACCAAGGCGACGAUCAGUAGCUGGUCUGAGAGGAUGAUCAGCCACACUGGGACUGAGACACGGCCCAGACUCCUACGGGAGGCAGCAGUGGGGAAUAUUAGACAAUGGGCGCAAGCCUGAUCCAGCCAUGCCGCGUGAGUGAUGAAGGUCUUAGGGUUGUAAAGCUCUUUUAUCCGGGACGAUAAUGACGGUACCGGAGGAAUAAGCCCCGGCUAACUUCGUG